rnacentral:rRNA from 1 species
UUUAUGGAGAGUUUGAUCCUGGCUCAGAGUGAACGCUGGCGGCGUGCCUAAUACAUGCAAGUCGAACGAUGAAGCUUCUAGCUUGCUAGAAUGCUGAUUAGUGGCGCACGGGUGAGUAACGCAUAGGUCAUGUGCCUCUUAGUUUGGGAUAGCCAUUGGAAACGAUGAUUAAUACCAGAUACUCCCUACGGGGGAAAGAUUUAUCGCUAAGAGAUCAGCCUAUGUCCUAUCAGCUUGUUGGUAAGGUAAUGGCUUACCAAGGCUAUGACGGGUAUCCGGCCUGAGAGGGUGAACGGACACACUGGAACUGAGACACGGUCCAGACUCCUACGGGAGGCAGCAGUAGGGAAUAUUGCUCAAUGGGGGAAACCCUGAAGCAGCAACGCCGCGUGGAGGAUGAAGGUUUUAGGAUUGUAAACUCCUUUUGUUAGAGAAGAUAAUGACGGUAUCUAACGAAUAAGCACCGGCUAACUCCGUGCCAGCAGCCGCGGUAAUACGGAGGGUGCAAGCGUUACUCGGAAUCACUGGGCGUAAAGAGCGCGUAGGCGGGAUAGUCAGUCAGGUGUGAAAUCCUAUGGCUUAACCAUAGAACUGCAUUUGAAACUACUAUUCUAGAGUGUGGGAGAGGUAGGUGGAAUUCUUGGUGUAGGGGUAAAAUCCGUAGAGAUCAAGAGGAAUACUCAUUGCGAAGGCGACCUGCUGGAACAUUACUGACGCUGAUUGCGCGAAAGCGUGGGGAGCAAACAGGAUUAGAUACCCUGGUAGUCCACGCCCUAAACGAUGGAUGCUAGUUGUUGGAGGGCUUAGUCUCUCCAGUAAUGCAGCUAACGCAUUAAGCAUCCCGCCUGGGGAGUACGGUCGCAAGAUUAAAACUCAAAGGAAUAGACGGGGACCCGCACAAGCGGUGGAGCAUGUGGUUUAAUUCGAAGAUACACGAAGAACCUUACCUAGGCUUGACAUUGAGAGAAUCCGCUAGAAAUAGUGGAGUGUCUAGCUUGCUAGACCUUGAAAACAGGUGCUGCACGGCUGUCGUCAGCUCGUGUCGUGAGAUGUUGGGUUAAGUCCCGCAACGAGCGCAACCCCCUUUCUUAGUUGCUAACAGGUCAUGCUGAGAACUCUAAGGAUACUGCCUCCGUAAGGAGGAGGAAGGUGGGGACGACGUCAAGUCAUCAUGGCCCUUACGCCUAGGGCUACACACGUGCUACAAUGGGGUGCACAAAGAGAAGCAAUACUGCGAAGUGGAGCCAAUCUUCAAAACACCUCUCAGUUCGGAUUGUAGGCUGCAACUCGCCUGCAUGAAGCUGGAAUCGCUAGUAAUCGCAAAUCAGCCAUGUUGCGGUGAAUACGUUCCCGGGUCUUGUACUCACCGCCCGUCACACCAUGGGAGUUGUGUUUGCCUUAAGUCAGGAUGCUAAAUUGGCUACUGCCCACGGCACACACAGCGACUGGGGUGAAGUCGUAACAAGGUAACCGUAGGUGAACCUGCGGUUGGAUCACCUCCUUUCUA